CGACACUAAUGAUAAAUCAAAAACAUAAAAAUAAACAAGCUUCGUUUCUGUAGUGCACUUGGUACUACUUCUUUCUGUGCGUACAUUAAGACAUCGUCGCAUAGUAAGAAAUUAUUUGAAUUUGUAUUUUUAUUAUGCUUAGUUUUCAAUGUUUCUUUCACUGUCCUCUACGGAUUUAAUUUUUAUGUCAUGCACUGUCACCGGCAGUUCCUGGAUUAUAUUACUCACAAUACUUCUUACUUCAUUUUCUGACUGCAAUGAAGUUAUAACGAUCUCUUCUAGUGGUUCCACGCUCUUGGGAGUUAGACUUUAUAAGCAUCUGAAAAUUGUAGUUCAGCAAUAUUGUACGCCAGCGUUGUAGUUACCGCAAAAAAUAAUCAAUAGAACCUCCUCCUCUCGCUGACUAUACUUUCUUUCAUCUGCUAUCAGUGAACGUGAAGCAUGAACUACUGGCGUCAUAUUUCCAUCUUUAUACUUGUAUAGCAAAAUUGCUCCUAUUCCAUACUCUGAAGCAUCAGACGCUACAACAAUUUUAGGAUCGAAAUGCUCGAGUGACAAGUCAGAAAUUAAUAUUUUCUUUAUGUCUUUAAAUGCGUUUUGGCACUUUACUGACCAAUUCCAUUUUACUUCUUUUUUUUAGUAAAUCGUUUAAUUGUGCUCUCAAUUUAUGUAUAUUUGGAAUGUACUGUUGAUAGUAAUAUACUAGGCCAGAGAAAGCUAGUAGUGUCGGUAUAUUCAUUGGCGAAGGCAUAUUCUUUAUUGGGUCUGACUUCGACAGGUCAGGACGUCUAUUCUUAUCUAUGGCUAGCAGUAUCGCCCGGCGUUGCUCAGGUUUGUAAGGGAAAUAACUAUAAAGCAUUUUUAGAGAGUUAUAGCCAAAAAAUAGCAAAAAAAUGGAAAAAAAUGAUGGUAAAUUUUUUUUGAGAGUAAAAAAGGUGGAGUUGCGUCCCCGAGACAGUUUGCGGUUUGUAUUUCUGAUUCUCGACCCCAUGUCGAAUUUAUCAAUUUUUUUCAGAACUGGGGGAACUUUUCAAAAUUUUCGCUGCGUUAGUUUUGAAUUAUGACAUUGGGCUAUGUGUGUGUCAAGUUUCAUCAGAAUCGGUUGAAAGCCGUGGUCAGAGUGAGGGUACAACCAAACAGACACACAGAAACACACACAGACAAACUGCCGUUUAUAUAUAGAGAGAUUUGACGAAGCAAAAAAAUUCACACUUCUUUUCACUGCGUGUCAAACCAUAAUCCUUAAUUCUUUUAAAGACACACUUCACGUGUUCGAUAUGCUCAUCCCGCGAUUCACUUUGGAUUAAAACAUCAUCAAAGUAAGG
rnacentral:lncRNA from 1 species